rnacentral:rRNA from 1 species
AGGGUUUGAUCCUGGCUCAGAAUCAACGCUGGCGGCGUGCCUAACACAUGCAAGUCGAACGCGAAAGGGGCUUCGGUCCUGAGUAGAGUGGCGAACGGGUGAGUAACACGUGGGUGAUCUACCUUCGAGUGGGGGAUAACGUCCCGAAAGGGACGCUAAUACCGCAUGACGUUCCGGGUUUAAAGACCUGGAAACCAAAGCCGGGGACCGCAAGGCCUGGCGCUUGGAGAGGAGCCCGCGUCCGAUUAGCUAGUUGGCGGGGUAACGGCCCACCAAGGCGACGAUCGGUAGCCGGCCUGAGAGGGCGGACGGCCACACUGGAACUGAGACACGGUCCAGACUCCUACGGGAGGCAGCAGUGGGGAAUUGUUCACAAUGGGCGCAAGCCUGAUGACGCAACGCCGCGUGGGGGAUGAAGGUCUUCGGAUCGUAAACCCCUGUCGAAUGGGACGAAAGACUCGGGAGCUAAUCAUCUCGAGAGUGACGGUACCGUUAAAGGAAGCCACGGCUAACUCUGUGCCAGCAGCCGCGGUAAUACAGAGGUGGCAAGCGUUGUUCGGAAUUACUGGGCGUAAAGGGCGCGUAGGCGGCCAUCUAAGUCAGACGUGAAAUCCCCCGGCUUAACCUGGGAACUGCGUCUGAUACUGGACGGCUUGAGUAUGGGAGAGGGAUGUAGAAUUCCAGGUGUAGCGGUGAAAUGCGUAGAUAUCUGGAGGAAUACCGGUGGCGAAGGCGGCAUCCUGGACCAUUACUGACGCUGAGGCGCGAAAGCUAGGGGAGCAAACGGGAUUAGAUACCCCGGUAGUCCUAGCCCUAAAC